UACGUAGGGCGCAAGCGUUGUCCGGAAUUAUUGGGCGUAAAGAGCUCGUAGGCGGUUUGUCGCGUCUGCUGUGAAAACUGGAGGCUCAACCUCCAGCCUGCAGUGGGUACGGGCAGACUAGAGUGCGGUAGGGGAGAUUGGAAUUCCCGGUGUAGCGGUGGAAUGCAUUGAUAUCGGGAGGAACACCAGUGGCGAAGGCGCCCAUCUGGCCUAAUACUGACGCUGAGGCACGAAAGCUAGGGGAGCAAACAGG
rnacentral:rRNA from 1 species